GCGGACAUAGCUCAGUUGGGAGAGCGUCAGACUGAAGUGGAAUUCCUUCCUGAAAACUUCAUUCAAAACAUCUGAAGGUCGUGUGUUCAAUCCACACUGGCCGCA
rnacentral:tRNA from 1 species